AAUGACUGAGCCACCAGGCGCCCCCGGCCUGAGCUCCUUGAGGAUGGCUCUCAGCACAGAGGAGAUGCCUAGUGAAAACUAAAACCCACGACUGAAAAUAAGUUGAAUCACACGCUGAUGAAAUGUGGAAUGUGGAACGUGAAGGGUCUCCCUUGAUUUCCAAGUUCACCGCUGUGAACAUUGCAUAUGCUGUCAAUGCAGAAACACCUAGAAGGUGCACGGGCCGUGAAGAAGGGCAGAGCGGGAGCAGGUGGAGUGACCUUUCUCGGCAUUUGCAUGGAGCGUGAGAUUGGCGCGGGGACGCGGACUGUGCCAUGGGCAGGACACGAGGUAACAGCCAGCACUGAGCCUCUGUGUGAGGUCAUUACUAGCAGGUGACCCUCUCCGUGCUGUGUGCUUGUGUAGCCACCGUGUCCUCAGCUGGAACUUGGCAAACAUCACCUUCAAGUGUGUGGGCAAGGCAGGAAGUUCGUUAUCCCUGUGACCCCCAUGCCAGGGAAACGGGUUCAUAUGCUCCCUGUUUUGUCUGCCCAGCAUCCCUGACUCUUGGGAACUCCCACAUCCUUCCACGUGACCCCAGUGGGGCUGUCAGUUGAGGGACUGACACAGGUAGGUCUAAGCGCCUGUUGUCCCGUGUGCAGUGUGACUGGGCCAAUGCCGAGGGCAGGACCAAGCAGGCCCAGCAUCCUUGUCCCAAGAGGUGGAUGUUGAGGCCCAGAGAGUUUAAGUGACCAGCCUUAGGGCAUAGAGCUAGACCAGAAGCAAGGAGGCCCCCAAGGCUGUGGCAUUUACAGGGGAAAAGCCAGAGACUGAACCCUGGGCCCACAAGCAAUGAUGGGGUUCUGACUCUGACCUAAGGGCCUUGGAAGUGGGAGAUGCGAGCGGGACCCCAAACACAACUGGAACCUUCAGUGAGAGACAGAGGCAGCCUGACAGCUCCCAUGGGCCGAGGAGGGUUUGGGUUGCAUGGGGGUUGCUGGUGCAGAGUCACUGCCUGGGGAGGCCGCUGAGGUCACUGGCUGGGACCCCCGUCCCUGCACAGGGAGAAGGGCCCACGGGAGGGGACUCCAUGGGAGAGGAGUGGCCAGCCCUUCCCUGUCCUGCCUCUCCCCUCCCCUUCCCUGCCGGGUCUUGUGUGAGGAGAUGGCUGCGGAGUAUGGCCUCAGCAGGACCACUGGGCCACCGCCAGGAUGUCCUGGCUGGGUGGAGAUGGGCGUGGGAGCAUGUGUGGAAGAGGGUGUGUGAGCGUGUGCAGUGUGUGAGUACAUGUGCACACGUGUGUGAGUUGUGUGUGAGUGUGUGUCCUUCAGGACUGGGCAUGCAGAGGCUUGGACACGGCGGGGCUGCAGGGAGAUCCUGGAGGGGUCACGGGGGACAGGACAGAGAAGGAAACUGAGGCAGGCUCAGGCAAGUGCCCAUGUUAGGAUCUCACUGAUGGUGGCAUGGGAGGGGCAGGGACAGGGCUCUGGAUGGAGAAGACUGCCCAGCUGUCUCCCUGUGGGUGUGGGUGCCACCAGCCACCCAGGCAACACCACGGGGACAGGAGCCGCCUGGGGGCCGGGGCGGUGGGAGGUGCUAAGAAUCUCCCCACUGGGCGGCUCCUGUGGUGGAGGUCUUGGCACACGCCUGCCUGGAAUUUAAACCUGGGAGGAGAUCAAAGAGACAGCCCGCAUGCCGCAGCCCUCCAGCCGGAGCUGCUCUAAACCCCGACCACAGUGAAGGGAGCCGGUGGGAUUUCUGCCCAAGGAACGUUCCCCAGCACCAACCAUAGGGCCCGCUCUGCCUCCCUGGACAGUCCUGUUCAGCCCUCCCCACGGGACCCCUCCUCCCGCCUGGACCUGGGCUGGGCACUGCUCAGGGAGGCGGCGGCGGUGGGGAGGACAGUGGACCCAGGGGGGUCUGGGUGAGGCUGCUGUGACGGGCCCAUGGCCCUACAGGCCAGCCCCCCCGCCCAAAGUUUGGGGCUUUGAGACGUCGGACAGCUUGGCCGGGUGGGUGCUUUGUCCAGCCCGCUCCUCCCAUAGACCAGGAGGCGGGUAGCCUGGUAGUGGGGUGUGCCAGCCUCUCCUCCCGCCCUGAGGCUCUCUCAGUUCUCCCUAAGUUCUCCCCCUCCCCGGCCUCCUGCCUCCAACCUGAUCCUCUCACCCAUGGCCAUGCAACUAUGAGAGGAGGAGUUGCCUAGCCAAUAUUCCCUUCCCAUCCUACAUCAGCCAGAACCCUGAUUUGGUGUCAGGUAGCACUCUGUCCUGAUAAAGGACAGAUACCAGGCACACUUGCAGUUUGGGUGGCCAUGAGACCCAGUGCUGUCCUUGAAAUCUGAGUGCAUUUCUGGGACCUACUUAGACUUUGCCUUCUUGCCUGGAAUGGUGAUGUGGUGCCUGGUGUUCUGGCAACCAGUUUGUGAAUAUAAGGAAGGAAACUACGUGCUGAGGAUCUUAAAGCAAGAAGAUAAGAAAAAAGCCUGGGUCCCUGAACAAAUUCUGAAACUUUUCAAUGAGCUCUGGAUUGUUGCUAUCUAGCCUGCUUGUUGAAAGGGUGGUGGGAGAGUCUUCUAGAACCUUCCAGCAGAGGGAAUUGCCAUGAAGAGGAAUGGCAAUCAGAACAUAGCUGGAGGGUCCGAGGGCUGGGACGCAUUCUCUUAUUCUUUCUGGUUCUUUGUCUGAGUCUUUCUGCUCUGUUCCCUCUGACCCUUGUUCUCCUUGAUGGAACCCUGUCUCUGUGCCAACUGCUCCCUCCUCUCCUUCCCUGCACUGCCAGCCUUGCAUGGAGCCUGUGCUCUUGGCCCUGGGACCUAUCCUUCCUGGUCUGGUCUGGCCCAUGAGACCUUCUGGUCCCUUGUGUAGCCCUCGCACUUCUUUCCAAAGUCUGUAUUGAGACCUGGCCUCAUUCCCCAAGUGUUCACAAUGGAUGGCUUCCACCACAUUUCUUGGUGUGCAAAUGACACGUCUUGGUGUCCCAGGCUUGGCUUCCCAGGAAGCCAACUCCAAGGUGAAGUGUAGCAUGCUGGGGGUAGGGGAUGGGUUUAGGGAGGACCCUUGGGACCCAGCUCCUGAGAAAGGAGGGGAAGGAAGCAGAUUCAGCUGAGGAAGGCAUCCAGCUGAGAUGCAGGUCCAAGGCCAGGCCUGCUCGGCCCUCUGGAGAGCUCUGGAGCCAAAAGACCCUUCAGGUUGUGAAACAGGUCAAAAUGAUCAGGUCCUUCUACCCCGGGCUGGAUCACAUUUCAGAUGCCGCUCCCCCUGGAAGGGUGUGGCCCGGGCACAGAUCCUCCCCGCAGAGGCCAUCCCUGAAGGGGGUGCGGAUUGAAGGCCACCCACCCCUUUCCUUGUUGGUGUGUCUGGGAGGUGCAUCUCCAUUCCAUCUCGUCAGUCAGCUCUCCAGGCGUGGCUCUUGGAACCCCACCCUCUGAUGGGAGCAGAAGGUUCACACAUUCCCCAAGUGCGCAUCCAGGGGUGGCUUCUCCUCCCGGUUAGGGUCCCAAGGGCCUGGGGUUGUCCAGCGGGAGCAGUGGCCAGCGCAGUGGAGGCCCGUUUGGGGGCCCUGAGCGUGGAAGAUGAGGUAGGCUUCCGUGCACCCCCAUGAAGGCCUGGUUGCAGCGGACUUCGGUGCCCAGAGGCAGGACGCCAUAAGGGUACGCUGCCAGAAAUGGGAACUUGGGAGAAUGGGAAAGAGAGCCAGGGUGAUGUUUAGCGCGGACUUGUGGUAGGUGGGAGAACUGGUGACCCGUGUCGUGCUGCAGCGAGACGUUCUAACUAUCCUCUGCUUGGUUUUGGGAUGGUGACUGGGGUUGGGCGGUGAGGGGCAUGGAGGAAAUAUUUCGAAUACUGGCAUAUGCGGGUUCCUCAUGGAGAAGUUCCACAGGAGACGGCUGAGCUAAGGCUGGACCCAGCCUGUCUCCGAGGACACAGAGCAAGAGGCCUGGCUGGCAUUGCCUGUGACCAAGCACUCUGCCCCCCGGGGCUCUCCAGAGCCGAGGGAGCCUGGGUUUUUCAACCCUAGCCCAACACAGAGGUGAGCAGCUCACUGGGCUGCUGCCCCCUCCUUGUCGAGGGCCCUUGAGAGAACCCCACCAGUCACAGCCCAGUUGAGGAGGGAGAUAUUUCUCUCUGGAACAUGGUGUCUUGAAUUUUCCCAGGACAAAGGGGACCCGGCCCCGGGGCCAGGGCAGUGGGUGUGGCCCAGGGCAGGAGGUGCUCGGAAUCUUUGGGCUUCAAGUCACAGUGUAGACAAGACUGCUGGAGGUGGAGGCAGGCGCAUAGACUGGACUGGAGCUUUCUAGAUUCUUGAGGGAAUUAGAUUUCGAAGAAGCUCUGGACCUGUCUGUUCAACCCCCAAGGCCAUCCCCAACUCUCCAGGUGGACCCCGCAGGUUUUUUAUCAGGCUUGAUCCCUGAAAGGCCAGUGGGGCCUGAAGCGUCCUCGGGUUCAGGCAGGCCACCCGUGGGCAGUGCCCAGUGUGUGUGCAUGUGGCUGGCACUCCGUGGCACCACUCUCCUUCCUUCUGGUGGCGCCCCUCAGAGCAGAACCCUUCCCAGGCCCCCCCUUCCCCAUUUCCCUCUCCGCUCCCACCCAGCUGGCUCACCCCCGCCCUGGCCUCCUUCCCUGCAGGCGGCCGCACGCCUUCCUUCUGAGCGCAUCGCUUCUCCUGAAUGCCGAGACCCGGUGAACAAUGUUGCCAAAAACGCAAGCUGGAAACCAGAGCUGUAUUUUUUUUUUUUUCCAAGAGGGAAGAGGAUUUAAAAAUCUUGGCCUGAGAGUUUUGUUCAAGGAGAAAGUGAAUAGCAAGUCUUCCUUUGGAAUGUAGCCCCCUCCAUCUCCGCUGUUUGAGAAGAGUUUAAAAGGGAGGUUUGUGGGAGGCGUGAAGGGACUCUGCUUUGACCUGCAGCUUUGCCCUCGCCUCUGAGCCUUAGCUCAUGCUUUCCCCCUUGCAGGGAAAGACCUUUCCCUGCUCUAAAUGCUCCUGGCUCUUACUCACCCUUCAAUGCAUGGUGUCAAUGCCUCCUCCUCCACGAAGCCUCCCUGAUCACUUCAGCUUCUCUCUGUCCUCAGUGCUCACUGGUGAGGGGCAAGUGAGUGAGCUUAGACAGUGCUGGGUUUAAUCCAGGCCCUGCCAGCCUGCUUUUGCUGCAGCCACCUGCGGAAGCAGAAGCUUCUGGCCUGCCUCCCUGUCCGGGGUCUAAGAUCUACCCUGUGUUUCCAAGAUCCUGACAAAGUGUGACCUUUCUCCCCGCUUCCACAGAGCGGUAAGAUUUCUUCAGCUUAUUUUAUUACACACAGACAGAGAUUGUCAUCUGGAAAAGGCUUUAUUUGAAUUAACGUAGCAUAAAAAGAUGGAAUGUCACUUAUUAGCCUUGGCAGCCAUGAGACAAGAUAGCUUUAAAGCUAGUGACCCAGUUGCUGGGUUUCAAGAACUACAGGAACAUUUUGUUGGUUUGUUUAGGGGUCUCCCCCUUCCUGGAGCAGUGUGGGUGAUCCUGGGGGGAUCACACCGGUGUGCUAACUCCUAAUGCUUGGGGUGUCAGGAUGCAGUGAAACAGCCCGGGUUUGGUAUCCUUUGAAUUCCUGCUGUGCUCCUGACCACCUGGGGGCUGGAGCAGUCCCUUCCCUGAUUCGUGCCCCAGGACUCAUCUAGAAAAGAGAGCACUCGCUCCCUCGGACGGGCGCUGUGGGUACCGGCUGAGAUGGGGCGGGCCCUGGCUGGCCCAUGGUAGAAGCUUGGAGGAUGCAAGGUCUCCCUCUGGGACCCCGAACUACCACAUCCAGGCAAACGCCCUGAAGUGACAAUUUUGCUAGAUAACUCUUUUGGUCAAAGUCUUGUGAUGUUAAUUAUU